rnacentral:rRNA from 1 species
UACGGAGGGUGCAAGCGUUGUUCGGAAUCAUUGGGCGUAAAGCGCGUGUAGGCGGCCUGGUAAGUCGGGUGUGAAAUCCCGGGGCUCAACCCCGGAACUGCAUUCGAUACUGCCAGGCUAGAGUCCCGGAGAGGGUGGUGGAAUUCCCGGUGUAGAGGUGAAAUUCGUAGAUAUCGGGAGGAACACCAGCGGCGAAGGCGGCCACCUGGAUGGUGACUGACGCUGAGAUGCGAAAGCGUGGGGAGCAACCAGG